UCUUUUCUCUAACUCCGUAAUUGGGGUCCUA
rnacentral:piRNA from 1 species